CUGGUAUAUGAAAUUCAAGCUAUUUUAUCUAUUGGAUACCUCGGGCAUUCACAAAGUAGUUCUGUGGGAUAGUUUCAUGUACUCAAAUCCCCAUAAAUGUUAGCAGACUUAAAUUUUUGCGUAGCUAUUUCUAGCUUUUUUCACAUCGUUAAUUUAACCCAUAGAAUACUGGCAACACUGGCCAGCAGAGCGAUAGAGAGCGGAGAGCGCGUGAGAGAGACCUUGCUUUAUAUAUUGCAUAAAGUUUGCUCUCCGAGGUCUGUGUGUGUUGGUGCCGAAGAGCGUGCGAGAGAGACGAGAGAGGAGUGCGCGCGCACAGUGUUGCUUUGGAAUUCAUUUUCUGUCGCCUCGGUUGCUGCCUCACAGCUCGCAGCUAAAACAGGGUGGCAACUCAGCGGCGCAACAACCAAAGGCCUCCGGACUCGCACAUUGAAAACGCUGCAGUUGCGUUGUUGCUGCUGCUGCGAGGCAAUAAAAAUAGUACAUAAAACAGCCAGCACACACAAUCUUCCUGCGGCUGUUAAUUUUCCUGGAAAGAGACGUCUCCCGCAUGCUAUUCAACUAAAAAUGGCGCCUAGAAUUUGGAUAAGAAAAGAAUGUGUUCAGAGCGGCGCGACGGGAAGCUUACGUAAGUGCAAAAAGCACCAACAAGGCAGUGGGCGUGCGAAAGAGCCGGCACUAGAGCUGCGAAAACAAGUCGGCAAGAAAACAGGGUGCUCCGCACUCGCACAGCAUAGCGCCACACAACGCGAUCCCCCAAGUAGAGUGCCGUCCCCCUGUAUACGCCAUGAGAGAGCGAACGGCACUCAAACAGACGCACUUGUAUAUACAGGAGGAAGCGACGUCGGCAGCGCUGUCCGGCACUAUUGCAGUACAUAAUGAAAUCGACAAAACCGAAAAUCAGAAACCAAACGGACCACUAGCGGGCUACAACUCUGCCACGGUUACAGUUUGCCGCAGCGAGCACACAGACGCAGCACACUCAUGCACUCCUACAUCCACCUCGCUCACGCACACACACAGCGACGCGUGCGUGUGGAGAGCGGCGGAGGCAGAGUCGUCGGCGGCGGUGCCAGGAAAGAAAACCCGAAAAAAGGCCAAGCAAAGUGCAUCUCACCAUGACAAUGGCGGAAGAGCUGCGGAACCAUACCCACUCGCCGUUGUCGUUGUCGUCCGUAAAAAACACAUGUUCGCAUCUGAAUCCGAAUUCGGCAACCGCCUCCUUCCUUCGCAGGCGAAAAAAAUCUGUAUACGCGAAAAGUUUAGCUGCUAAAAAUCGGUUUGGAGUGUGGAAGGGGAAUUGAUGGCAUGGAAACCUUGCAGUUAUUGAUUCGCCUCGCUCAUUGCGCAAUGAAAUGCAGCGGGGGCGGAAACAGAAAGAGAGAAAGGUUCGACUAAGCGUUAGAGAGCAGGGAGAGCGCUGGCUCUCUCUCCGCAAGGCACCUGCAGCGGCGGUGGCGUUAGGAAAUGCAAAUCACAAGUGCCCAGCCAAACGAGGAGCUGCUGGCUGCUUCCAGCCUCGAAAGUUCAAAGUUCACAUGCAACGCGACGCGGUGCAGCGCAUGUCCACCGACACAGUGCACCGAGUCCCUGGACUGCAGGCAGCUCGGACUUCCAGACGCCGCAGGAAGAUGGCGCUGCCCUGCCUUGGCUUGGAAUGUAUUAAAUUGCGCUGAGGAAUGGAUUCAAUUCUUAGAAGUAACAAACACUACAACACAUACAGCUGAACGAAGCUAAAUAUUAUUAACGCUGAUCGAGGAAAAUUGAGGAUUUUGCGAUUGGGAUGUGUUGUGUUCCGGCAAAAAAAAUUUAUGUAAUUGCCAAUUAGUUUGGCGUUUCGUACGUGGUCAGCGAAUUAUCAGAUAUAUAUUUGUUUCCCACCUUUGUCACCUGAUUUAUUAGUUAUUGCACAUAGAGACACGUGAUAAGUACGAAAUUCAAAAAAUUCAAAUGAACAAUACCUAAAAUUUGAAUGGAAAGAUUUUUUGUAUUCUAAAAGAAUAUGACUUAAAAUUUGUACUUGGAGAAGCAACAAAAUUUUGGAGGUAUAAGAGAAUCUAUGCUAACAUAAGCCAUCAAAUUUGGCUCCAUUUCCAACGUUUAUCAGGAGGUUUACAACAAAUGUUGUGAUUUUAGACACUUGACCCGUCACAAAAAAUUAGAUAUUCAAAAUUUCAAUUCAUUUAUGAAAAUUACAAUGAUUUACAACUUAUAUCUGACAUUUUGGUCAGAUUAAGUUAUAAAUGUGGAACUCAUGGAAAGGUUUAACAACAAAGACUGAUUGUAAGUUAUUUUGAUACAAUUUUACUAUGAAUACAAAUAAAAUGUUCUACAUUCCCAUUAA